AUUUUGGGCUGGGGUUUGGCUCCUCCUGCUUGUGCCAGGGUCCAGCGUGGGCUGCCCGAGGGAGCACAGGGGAUCAGGGGAGACUGUUUGGGGGUUCAGGGCUUUAGCCCCCCCUAGUGCCAGUGCCUGCAGCUGGCAGUGCUGGGCCAGCAGCCAGGGGUGCUCCUGCCUGAGCCCCUGGGCCUGGCCCCACAGUGCCUGCUCCUCGUGCUGGGCCUUCUGCAGAGCUGUGCAGAGAGGUUCCGGAGGUGUCAGAACCCCCCAGAGCCACAGCCCCCCCCGAGCCCCACAGCCUCCGCCCUCAGCAGCCUGAGCCCAGGGCUCCCUCCCGCCCCUCCGGCGCCGAGCGCAAGGGGGCGCAGGUGCGGCAAGGCCCCGCCCAGAGCUGGCAGCCAGAGCCAAUGGGAGGCGUGGGCAGAGCGGCCCCGCCCCCAAGGGCGCUGUGGGCUCCGGCCCCAGGGGCGUGAGCGCCAUUUUGGCUGGUGCUGGGCAGCGUCGUGGGAGCGCUGGAGCAGAGGCUGUGGUGUGCGCGGGCAGCGCUGCGGUCUUUUGAUUGGCUACCAGCUCGUUAUGUCCAGCCUGCUUUGGCAGUGAGCAGAAGUCUUGCUCAGAUGGCUGUGGCAGGAAAUUGAAAUGUGUACUGAGAUGUGGUUGUGUGCACAGGCUUUGGUCAUGCUUUGAGUUAGGUAUUUUGUUGGCCCUCUGUUAUAAGGGCCAGAGGCACUCAUUGGCAGAGAUGGGGAGCAGCUGUUUCUGUUAGCAAUGUUUAAGGUGCUGUGUUUGUUACCUUUCUGCUCAGGGCCCUGCACAAGAGGAGAAGCACUGCCUUCAUUUUAAAAGGAAAAGAGGAAUUGUGGGAAUUAGAUCUGUAUGGACGAAGUCUGAAGAAACAGUGCUGUGACAGCCACAGGUCCACUUGUCAGCUGUGGAUAUUGUUACUCUGUAGGCACUGCAGUUACAAGGGGUAGAGGAAUGUAAAUAGAUUUGAACAGAAUCUGCACUGGCAGUGCCCAGUUUGUCAAGGCAGCAUAGAAAAUUGGACACUAGAGUGUUGAGUUGGCCACUCUGCUAGGCUGCGUGAAAGAGGCAGAGACACCAGGCUUACACCAAUAUAAUUAGUCCUUGUCCCCCGCAAAAGGGCACAGGAUCAGGGCCCAGCUGAGAAAUGUAUGUGCAGGAAAUCACAGAAUUAGUCAGGGUUGGAAGGGUCCACAAGGACCUUGCAGUGCCAACCCCCCUGCCAUGGUCAGGGACACCCCACCAUAGCUCUGGCUAUCCACAGCCUCAUCCAUCCUGGCCUUAAGCCCCUUCAGGGAUGGGGCCUCAACCUCCUCCCUGAGCAACCCCUUCCAGGCUCCCACCACUCUCAUGGUGCAGAACUUCCUCCUCACCUCCAGUCUGACUCUCCCCACCUCCAGCUCCAUCCCAUGCUGUGAUUGAGAGGUGGGAAGAGCAGCUUGAUCGAGCUAAGUUCUGGUUUUUGAUCUUUCAGCACUUGGUUAUAUACCUUAACACACAAGGUAAAAGAUUGUGCCACAUCCUAACUGGUCGUUAAGACAGACCUCAGUACAUACCUCAUGGAGACAGACCUCGUACGUUAGCAGCUGGAUAAGCCAAGGUUAAUGAAACCGCAGGCUCAUGUUCCUUAUAGCUCUGUCUGCUGCAACAUUCCUUAAGGUCAUCUCGACCCUCUGUUAACUCAGGACUUUUCCCCUUCAUACCUUCUGCACCUGUGGCUUAUGGUCUGGUAUGUCAGCACUAAAAGUCCUACCAUUCCCAGCGUUUCCCCCUUUCUGUUGCACAAAAAGUAUCCUUGCAGAGCCUUCUGUCACCUUCUGCAUACACUGCAACAAGCAUGUUGAAAAGGGGUUCUCUGGGGAUGCGGUAGCUCAGCAGAGAGCUCUGUCCUGUUCCAUUAGCAAGGGUGAUCCAAACAUCAGUUUUGUGCAAAGAAAGGUUUAUUUUUUUUACAAGUACAGAGGAUGCAUAAUACAAAAUCCCCUUCUGGGAGUGACAUUUUGCCAGGGACUCCACUUGCAGUGUGAAGGCUCAGUCCUCAGUGUUCGACAGGCCCUCUCGAUGCGGCUGUGUGCUCUUCGCGGCAAG